GAGGGUAGAGCUCAGUGGUAGAGCACAUGCUUAGCAUGCACGACAUCCUGGGCUCAAUCCCCAGUACCUCCA
rnacentral:tRNA from 1 species